GGACGAACGCUGGCGGCGUGCCUAACACAUGCAAGUCGAGCGAGGAGAUCCUCGGGAUGAUCCUAGCGGCGGACGGGUGAGUAACACGUGGGCAACCUGCCUCAUAGAGAGGAAUAGCCUUCCGAAAGGGAGAUUAAUACCUCAUAACAUUGCAGUUUCGCAUGGAACAGCAAUUAAAGGAGUAAUCCGCUAUGAGAUGGGCCCGCGGCGCAUUAGCUAGUUGGUGAGGUAACGGCUCACCAAGGCGACGAUGCGUAGCCGACCUGAGAGGGUGAUCGGCCACAUUGGGACUGAGACACGGCCCAGACUCCUACGGGAGGCAGCAGUGGGGAAUAUUGCACAAUGGGGGAAACCCUGAUGCCAGCAACGCCGCGUGAGUGAUGACGGCCUUCGGGUUGUAAAGCUCUGUCUUCAGGGACGAUAAUGACGGUACCUGAGGAGGAAGCCACGGCUAACUACGUGCCAGCCGCCGC
rnacentral:rRNA from 1 species